AGCUUUGCACAGUGGCAGUAUCAUAGCCAAUGAGGUUUAUCUGAGGCGCGAUUAUUGCUAAGUGAAAGAGAUAAUCUAUACUUUUUUUCCCCUUAGUCUUCCCUAUGUGGCCUGUCUGUUUUGAGCAAGGGUUUUAGUUUUCUGACUUCAUGUGAUGA
rnacentral:snRNA from 1 species